rnacentral:rRNA from 1 species
UUCCCCUUUUUCCUCUCCCGGGGGGGGGGUUUUCCUUCGCGGGGGGACAGCAGUGGGGAAUCUUAGACAAUGGGCGCAAGCCUGAUCUAGCCAUGCCGCGUGAGUGAUGAAGGCCUUAGGGUCGUAAAGCUCUUUCGCCAGGGAUGAUAAUGACAGUACCUGGUAAAGAAACCCCGGCUAACUCCGUGCCAGCAGCCGCGGUAAUACGGAGGGGGUUAGCGUUGUUCGGAAUUACUGGGCGUAAAGCGUACGUAGGCGGAUCAGAAAGUUAGGGGUGAAAUCCCGAGGCUCAACCUCGGAACUGCCUCUAAAACUCCUGGUCUUGAGUUCGAGAGAGGUGAGUGGAAUUCCAAGUGUAGAGGUGAAAUUCGUAGAUAUUUGGAGGAACACCAGUGGCGAAGGCGGCUCACUGGCUCGAUACUGACGCUGAGGUACGAAAGUGUGGGGAGCAAACAGGAUUAGAUACCCUGGUAGUCCACACCGUAAACGAUGAAUGCCAGUCGUCGGGUAGCAUGCUAUUCGGUGACACACCUAACGGAUUAAGCAUCCGC